rnacentral:rRNA from 1 species
CUCUGUGACUCCGUACGGGAGGCAGCAGUGGGGGAAUAUUGCACAAUGGGCGCAAGCCUGAGUGAGCAACACCGCGUGAGUGAAGAAGGGUUUCGGCUACGUAAAGCUCUGUUGUUAAAGAAGAACACGUAUGACGAGUAACUGUUCAUACGUUGACGGUAUUUAACCAGAAAGUCACGGCUAACUACGUGCCAGCAGCCGCGGUAAUACGUAGGUGGCAAGCGUUAUCCGGAUUUAUUGGGCGUAAAGAGAGUGCAGGCGGUUUUUCUAAGUCUGAUGUGAAAGCCUUCGGCUUAACCGGAGAAGUGCAUCGGAAACUGGAUAACUUGAGUGCAGAAGAGGGUAGUGGAACUCCAUGUGUAGCGGUGGAAUGCGUAGAUAUAUGGAAGAACACCAGUGGCGAAGGCGGCUACCUGGUCUGCAACUGACGCUGAGACUCGAAAGCAUGGGUAGCGAACAGGAUUAGAUACCCUGGUAG